UGCACAGUACUAUUUGCUAUAAAUUUGAUCUCUAAAACAAAGAUACUACAAAAUCAUUGAGUGUUUUUUAAGGGAUAUAUGAUAUUUGUCAUUUAGUUCCCAGUAUUAUGAUGGAAAGCCUGGAUAGUGGAUAGAAAACCUGGAGGUCAUUUAGGCAUCUCCUUCAAUGGUUCAGUGAGAAAUGGUGAAGAAGAUGGGAAUGGAGAAGGGCCAUUGGUAAGUGUAAAUAAGAGUCUUUGCUGAUUAAUUCAGUAUGGCCCAUGAGAAAGAGUGGAAGUGUCCAAGGUUCCCUCAGGUUUCCAGCUUGGGCAACUGACUGAGAACAGAAAGGAGCUACCAUUGAGAGGAAGAAAAGAAAAUGACACUGAGUCCAUGUUGGGACACAUUGGGUUUAAAGGGAUAUCAUUAUGACCUAGGCUUUCUGAAUUCCGGUGACUGGGAAGAUGGGAAGAUACAUCUUUAACUAUUGAAGCAAUUUAUACACCAGAGCCUAAGGAAUAUUUAUAGAUGAGGGCUGUGCUGCAGUGACAGAUAGGGCUGUAUGAAACAUAUACUAAUCUGACCAUUCUAUCCUCCAGACUCACGGAAAAAAUAGGAAAUAAUAAAAGUAAGCAACCAUUAAAAAUAGACCUUUAUGCAUAAAUAAACAAAAAUCAGCUAGGAGACAAUUCAUCCCUGUAUAACUAAAACAGGCAAAUUUAUCUUUCCUCUGAUUAAUAAUUUAAGAAGAAAUCCCAAGCAUGCUGCUUAUGGAGGUGUAGGAGGAGAUCCUAUAAUUAGACUCCAAUUUGAACCAUGAGGGUGAGGAUCAGAAAGCUGACUCAGAGCCUGGUGUCAAUUAUUUGCAGUUUGUACAACAAAAGGCUAAAAAUUUGGGAGAUGCAGGAUGACUGAAGCCCGAUUCUGGGGGUUGUUAUAGCACAGUAACAGGGUAAGUUUUUUUCCACUGUUAUUUGCUGGAAAAUUUAUUCUCCAUCUCCUUUAGUCUGUGCCUGAAUUUUGUGGGACUUGCUCGAGAAUGGUAUUCAUGCUUUAAAUCCAAGAGCCAGGAAUCAUCACAUUCCAACAACUUUCCUAUUUAUUUUAACCAAAAUGGAGCUGGUUUCUAUAAAUAAAUUUAAGAAAUUAUCCUCUUUGAUACAAUCUACUUAUGUUUGAUCGGUUUUAGAAUAAACGAACAGAUACACAAGAACUUAUCAAGCUAGCUCGGUUCAGUGGAGAACUAUAGCAGAAACAGCAGGUUUCUAUUUGGCACAUUUUGGAUUUAUCUGGACACAAGAGGAUGUGAAAAGAACACCUUUCAGACAAAAGCCAGUCUUGAGUACGCAUUUAAUAUUCCUUACCCAAACAGCUUAGUUUGUUUCCCAUUUUCAGUUAUUACCUGAAUCCUUUUUUAUCUCCUAUGUAGAACAAAUUCUCUCCCUCUAUUUAAUAGCCUUUCAUAUAUGAAACAGAGUGAGAGAGAAAGAGGAAGGAAGGAAGGGAGGGAGGGAGGGAGGGAGGGAGGGAAAGAAGGAAGGAAAAGCUCUAAUUUCUUCUGUUCUUUUGGUAACACACCUUCUCCCCUUCACAUCCUUCAGCUGUUCCCCUUACGGCUUUCUGCAGACACUUCUGCUGGUCUCUCCUCUUCUGUCACACUCUGCUCACUACUGUACUUUAUUUUGUAUUAUCUGUCUCCAUCCUUUCCCAAAUCCUGAGCACUCAGCCUCCUCUGGCUCUUUUCUGAUUCCUUCGCUCCUAGAACUGUGUCUGGUUGGCUCAUGAAGGCAAAUGACAAAUGUUUACCAUGUGCACAUGUAUGUGCAUGAAUGAAUACAUCCAGGUUCUGACUUCCUCUGGGCAACCUCUACUUUGUCAAUGCCCCUCCUAUGAUGGGGGUAGGGGAGAGUCCUCCUAGAACUGAACAUGAUAUUCCAGGUGUGAUCUAAUACAUUUAAAUGUCCAAAAGCUCUUUCUUCCCUAAAUGUUCCUUUUUAAAAGCUACUGUUCUCAAUUAAUGUGUGUCUCAUCUUCUUAAGUAUAUUAAUUAGAGGUAUUUUGAUGUUUCCCUCUAUUCUUUGCAUUAUCUCUUGAUUCUCUGGAUUCUUUGUUAUUGUUUUGUUUUAAGGAUAUCCUCAGGUGUCUGGUGAUCCUUGUUUAUAAGUCCAAAUUAAUAAUGAGGCACUAAAAUGCUGAUUGGAAGCUCUCUGUGCAGGCAAGUAUUGUUGAAUAGUGGUAAACAGGUGAUGUGUUCAUUUUGGAGACACUCAAAUAUCAGGACCUAUAAAUCUCUAUGCCAAGUCAGUUUCCCCAGAGUCUCUUAAUAUCAUUUAUUUCAGGUUAAAAGCCUGGUUACCAGGUUCUGGGAGUGAAGGGAGGAGAGGGGCUUAGACAAGUGUCGGGGCGGGGGUAUGUCUCAUAAUUCACUAAGUACCUUCUUUUAUAUCUGUGUUCUCUGUGCAGCAUUUUACCCCCACCAUCAUCCAUGUCUGAUGCCUCAGGUCCAAUCUGGUUCAGUCUUUCCAAAGAGGAAACAUUGGCUGGGUGGGAAUGAUUGGCAGGUUGAAGAGAGAAUUUGAAGCUCUAGCUGCUCCUUUUAAAACUUCUAACUAAUCUUUGUGUUUUCAGGACUUCCUCACAUCCAUGUCUUCAGAUACCCAAGGCCUUUAAUACUCGAGUCCUUCUUGGAUUCUGCACAUCUCAUUAGCUUCAUAUUCCUAUAUCAUAGUGCCUCAGAUUCCCUUUCAAGACUGAAACACUUUCUACUCCAGAUGCCCUUGGCUGAAGACAGCUUCUAUUUAAACAGUGUUUUCAGAAAUAUGAAUCAAGGGUUAACGUUUAAAAAUUUAAAAUUUUACAACAAAAUCCACAUUAGUGGCUACCCAAAAAGUGAAGUUUGAUGCCAUUGAACCCCCGUUCCUGCGUGGCCACCAUCAGCCUGAGUCCAGUAGCUGCUAUCUCCAGGGGUGGUAUGUGCAUAUAUUUUUAUAGAUGUUCCCAUGUUUCUUUAACAAUGUUUAGGACACUUACCUAUAGUCAUUUUCUACAAGAAGCACAUAUGAUAUAAUACUUCACCUUGGUAACACUGCUCAUGUGACUAUAGAUAAAGUCACACACUAACAUUUAAGGUGACAUAAGUAAAAAUUAUCAGGGCAGUACAGACAGGAGGAGAAAGACUUGAGGUAAAUAAGGGGGUGGCUGAUGGAAAGAUAAACAGAAAGGUGAUAAAAUUGUACUAUUUGACCUCUUUCCCUCCUCCCAUCUUGGUCUCCCUCCCUCUGUCCCUCAUCCCAUCUCUCCCCAUAUGUACACUUCUUAUGACUCCCCCUUAAUAAUAAUAUCCACAACCCUAUAUCAAGCACCUGCUUAGUGUUGGAGAUUAUACUAAGUUUUGUGAACAACAACCUGCAGACUGAUAUUACUCUACAACAAAGAUGUGUUUUUAAGAUUCCAGUCAUCAUGUUCUUUGCAUGAUGCCCUUUGUUCUGCUUGUAGUAAUAGAAAAUUCAAACACCAAAUAUACCUCUUCUGCUUUGCACGAGGUUAGUGGGAGACAACCUUGUUCUGUGGGGGAUGUGCUGGCUCUGGGGUAAAAGCAUUUGCAUUUAAAUCCCACCUAUAACUCCGAAUUAGUGCAAUGAUCUUGGGUGAGUUAUCCAACCUCUCUCCUGCUUAAAUUCAGGAUCUAUUAGAUGAGAAUACAAUUAUUAUUCAUAUAACUAUUCAUAAUAACUAUUUAUAUAGUUGUUAUGGAGACAAACUCUCCAUAGGAUGCCCAUGUAAAAGACCGUAAGCAUCUACUAUUCCUAUCAUUUUUCAGAUAAAAUAAAAAAUAAAUUGAAAUAACAAUGAAGGAAAUAUCCACAACAAUAUAUUAUUAAUGGGUAAAGAAAUUAACAUUUGUGGAGCACCUACUAUGUGCCAGAUAAUAUAUAUUUUGUCUCAUUUAAUCCUCAUUAUACUACAGCAAGUUAGAUUUUAUAAUAUUAAUUUUUUUUUGUUAGAAAACAGCAGCAGAAAGAAAGUACUUUGCCACUUAUGACUCUAAUAGGAGAGCCAGAUUUGUAUGAUGCCAAAGCUUAUGUCCACUGGCUGUGACCCACAGCUUGGAAUAAGGACAAGGGCAACUGCAGUGCUCAAGGCAGCUUUUACCCUGGACUCUGAAGGGCACUGCAAGAGUGCCUCAAUGCUGGGGUUCAGUAAAUCUGCUACACCUUACACUUCUGAUUCAAGACAGAAAUUAAGACAUAGUGACCUCCUAUUGGGGGCAGAUAUGAAGGUGACUGACAAAGCAUCAGGACAGAGUAAAUGAAUCAUUCAUAUAAAUGACAACAUUAACACAUGCCCUGACAUGUUCAUCUCUCAUCCUCAUGCCUACUGUGAAGAGGCAAUGUUUGUAUCUCUACAGGACAUUUGUAUUUUAAUAUACUUGGAGUGAGUUUAAUAUACACAUGUAUUGAAAAAUGUCUUCAAAGAUGGUCAUUGCAGAUAUAAUGUAUGUGUGGCACAUAGUAGAAGCUUGCCAGGUAUUAACUGAAUGAAUGAAUGAAAGUUCACUGGUUUUGUUCUGCCAGACAUUCAUUUGCAGAUUGUAUGCUCUGGCUCAGGGGUCACCCGGGCCAUAAGCCAUCUGUGGGUUGGUAAUACUAUUAACCUUAAUGCCUACCAAUUUUUUUGGUAAGGAAACGGAAGCAGAAAGAAAGUACUUUGCCACUUAUGACUGUACUGGACAGCCAGAUUUGUUUGACUCCAAAGUUCAUGUCUACCCACUGUAGCCCACAGCUUGGAAUAAGGACAAGGGCAUCUGCAGUGCUCAAAACAGCUUUCACAUCAGACUCAAAGAUGGCCUGAAUUAUCUAUGGAAAUAAUACAUGCUUUGAGGCAGGUCCAAAUGUCUUUCAAAGUCAAUACAGAUUGAAAGUGGCUCUAUCUGCAAAAAGCAAGCACUGUAUUGAAACUUCACUAUCUGGCUCCAAAACACGACCCCCAGCUCUUUCCCUCUCUAAUCUCAGAAUUAUCUACCUUGUCAGAAAUCUCAUGGAAAGGAAGCAGAGUGUUAUAUUCUCUUGGACCAAUAUAGAGAACUUUAAAAACGGGAAUAAUUACUUCUAAGGAACCUGCUAUAUUUCUGGCUCUGUGGAAUGCAUCAAUACAUUAACUCAUUGAAUCUCCCACAAUUAAAUGUGAGCCACAUGAGGAGAAUAUUUGUCUCUUCGAUUUACCUCUGUACUCUAAGAACCAUUCCUGGCACAUACGAGAUGCUUGUUCUGGCUCUUGCUACUGGUCCUCUGCAUUGUUCCUUAACUCUGCCACCCGCACGCUUCCCACUGUAUCACAAGAGCAGGAAGCCUGAGAACUAUAUGCUCAGAAUCUUUAGUCGGUAGAAUUGCAGUUUAGAUUCUCUUAACCAGAGUAACUUCCGUAAGCUCCAGGACGUUAAAGGGAAGUAGCAGACUGGCACAGGAUCACAGGAUUUUGUGACUGUCAGCACUGCUCUAGUAUCUUACAGUUUCCUCAUACUCUACAGUCCACUGUUGGUCUCUAGCUUCAGGGCUGGAAGAAACUGUGGCUCAGGAAAUGGCUCCCUGAGGUUACCUGAUUUGGUGGUAGUUGCUUCCAUCCCUAACUAUCAGUCUUCAAACAGUUUCUAAGCACAUUAUUACCCUGAAUUACACUGCUUUCUUCUGAAAAUAAUAAAGGUGCUAUCUAUUUUCCUGACUGAUUUAAUGUUCAAUAAAUAUAUGUUAAAUAAUUGAGUAAACCACCCAUUCGGUGGGCAUUAUUAUCCCUGCCUUGCAGUUGUGGAAUUGAGGUUCCCAGAGACAAAAUAAUUUAAAAUUAUACAGCAAAGUAUUAAAUGUCAGAUCUGAGAGUAGAGCCAUGGACUGUCCAAUUCCCAAUGUGCUUUUGCUUUUUCCAUUCAGGGACUGCUCUCAGUGGGUAUAAUAUACCACGUUGCUGUCAAAAUCUUAUCUCAGAGGUUAAGAGUUGUUUGCACUCUUCCUCCUGCCAGAGUACCAUUGCAGCUGAAAACCUCUCUAUACAUAGGCAAAGGACAUUCAUUUCCAAGACAAGUGGUUUAUUAAAUAUAUAUUAGGCCUGGUGAGACACCCUGUUAAAAACAUACAUUGUAUCUGCAGUAACAUUGCAGAUAUAAUGUAUGUGUGGCACAUAGUAGAAGCUUGCCAAAUAUUAACUGAAUGAAUAAAUGAAUGAAAGUUCACUGGUUUUGUUCUGCCAGGCAUACAUUUGCAGAUUGUAUGCUCUGACUCAGGGGUCACCUGGGCCAUAAGCCAUCUGUGGGUUGGUAAUACUAUUAACCUUAAUGCCUAGAUGCCUCCCAUAGUUCAGCAUAGUAAGAAUACCUCAGAAAUUCCUAGGUACUGACAUAAGGCUGUUGAUUUUCCUUGGAAACCUCAGUUGUCAAGGGCAUUGUAAUUCUGAGGCAGAUAGAAAUAAGAAUUCAUCCAUCCCUACAUUCCAAAUAAGAUUGAGGCACUGAAAACUAUUAAUCUGCCUUCAUUGUAAUGUAUUAAAAAGACUAUCCAAUUUGGAACCAAACUGAUCUGGGUUUUCAUCCUGAUUCCUGCUACUUUCUAGAUCUGAAAUCUUGGGCAAGCUGUUUCUGUGACCUCAGUUUUUUCAUUUAUAUAAUGGUGGAGAUGAUAGCUCUCUUACAGAGCUUACUGUAAGGAUAAGCUAUUGUAGACAGAAAGCAUCUAGCAUAGCAUCUGGCCCAUGUUAUGGAUUCAGUGAAUGAAAAUAGUACUGUCUUCACUAACACCAAGAAAGAGUCUGUUGACACAUAGGCUGUCAUCCUGCAGGCUGGUCCACAUUAGCCAACAAGGCUCUCCAGUCCCAAAUAGGCAGCAGUGGUAUGGAAGGAUACUUAACAGCAUGUUUUUUACUAGAAAGGUUAUGUAGUUGCAAGAAAUUAAAUGUCUGCAUAUUUUGUAAGCUUCACGGUGUCUGAUGCCUUUGGGUGGAGGGGAGUGGGAAUGGCUGGCAGAGAGUGGGUAGACCAGAAUCGUCACACCUCACUUUUUUUUUUUUAAAUGAAAGUCAAGAUUAGACUUACUGAAAGAAUCUGGGGGUGGACAGGUAGAGUUGGGUGGCUUUUGCAUGCUGGGAGGUAGUAGUUAAAACUGCAGGGAUGAAUGAGGUCAUGGUUGGUUUGGAAUUAAAUGAGGGAAAACCAAACCACACUUGACUUCAGAAAACUCAAAGUACUAGUCUCUAGCUUGGUGCUUGGGAUACAGCAGAUGCUCAAUGAAUAUUUGUUGCAUUAAAAAGCAUAAGGUUGAAGAGUACAUCAUCCUUCCUUAAAAUGUCUGUGUGUCUAACUUAUGAUCCAGAUUCAUUUUACCUUUGAAAAGCUAACUGACGUCUAUGUGCUUCAUAAAGAUUCCAAAUCUCUCAUUCUGGAAAGGUCCUCUUCUGAAAGCUCAUCAAGCCAGCACUAACAUUUAUUUAGCAUUUAACUGAGUCCUGGAAGACACUAUGAGUUUUUUCAUUCUACUUACAUAUCUUAAGACUCAACUAGAGUUUGAGGACAGAGACCACGUUUUUUUGCAUGGCUGAACAUUUCUUAGUAUCUAGCAGAGUGUUUGACUAUAGCAAGUGCUCAAUAAAUAGCAAUCUGGCACUUGAUUAACCAACCAAUAUUAAAGUAUUGUUAGGGAGGAAAAUCAAUAGAAUGCCUUGAAACCUUAGAUGUGUGGAAAAAUGAAGAGUGUGCCUGUGAGAGAUGACUGGUACUCAUCUUGAAAAAAAGAAGACUUAAGAAGCCUUAGAAAGAGGGGCCAAGCUACUGUAAAAUAGAACUGGGCUGUGAGGGAGAAUCUUGCAUGGAAGAGGCUGGUAGAGUUAGUUCUAGGAGAGGAGAAAUGGGCUGUCUUUUAUUCUUCAACUAUGCAUGGGUUGCCUUCUUAUGUCAAGUAGUGUGCUAGGCAAUGGAGAGAUAACAGUGAAUAAGGCACAUCAUCUGGUCAUAAGGGCUUUACAUUAUGCUAUAAGAGUUAAACCAGCAAACAAUCAACUAUAACAUAGUAUCACAGAAUACAGCAAUAUAGAGUACAAAUGGGGGUUAUACUUUCUAAAUAUUAGAUUAUCUCUUAUGUACUCUCUCUUUCUGCAGGGAUGACCUGAGGGAUUCAACAGAUAUUGUGAUUCGGGGGUUAAGCAAGCUCAAAGGAAGAGAGAUCACAGAGAAUUUCAAGACUAUAGAGCUUACCAUUUUCUUUUAUCUUUUUAAAUGUUGAUUUAACUACAAUAAUAAAUAUUCAAACCAUUCCAUAUGUCCUAGAGAAAAGAAAGGCAGAUCAGACAUGCCCCUUGUCAACCACUAGGCAACUUGUCUAAGGAAAAAUGAAUAAUUUUUACGACCAUUGUGGAGAUUCUUGAGGUUUUUUUUUUUUUUUUUUAGAGAAUGGGGAAUGCAUUAUGAUAGGAGCAUGAGAUUGGAGUUCUCUGUCAGCUGUAACAGUUAGGAGUCAAAAAGACAAAGAAGUGACAUAUACAAGGGUGCAUUGGAAUUGGAAGAUAAAUAAAGGACUAUCACAUUCCAUGGGGAUUUUCCUCAGGUCCCCUCCAACUUGACCCACUAUCUCCCCCAUGAUUUUUUUUUUUUUACAAACAUGAAUGUCAAGUUCUCUGCUUCCUGUCUUCACUAGCAUUAUUUUCAAGAUUAGCCCCUUUCAUUUGCUAGAUAGAUCUCAUUAUUCAAUAGUUUUUUAUACAGAACCGAAACAUUUUAAUUCCCCCACCAUGAGAUCUACUUCUGCCCUCUGCAGUUAUAAAAUAAAUUUAUAAUCUCUUAUCUCCUUGAAGGCUCUCUUGUAUUUGAAAGUUAUUGUAUUUGUUGUUCUUAUCCCUUGAAACUAGGCAGCCAUGGUUUCUUUAACUUAGAAGUCCCUAACCCCUGGUCCGUGGACUGGUAGGGGUCCACGGCCUGUUAGGAACUGGGCCGCACAGCAGGAGGUGAGUGGUGGGUGAGUGAGCAUUGCCGCCUGAGCUCCACCUCCUGUCAGAUCCAUGGUUGCAUUAGAUUCUCACAGGAGUGCAAAGCCUGUUGUGAACUACACAAGCGAGGGAUCUACGUUGCCUCUUCAUGUGAGAAUCUAAUGUCCGAUGACUGAUGAUCUGAGAUGGAAUAGUUUAAUCCCAAAACCAUUCCCCUUACCCACCCCAUCCAUGGAAAAAUUGUCUUCCACGAAACCAGUUCCUGGUGCCAAAAAGGUUAGGGACCACUGCUUUAACUCAUUUUAUCCAGUAAGAUUUCUAGACUUCUGUUCCCUACUUGGUUACCCCUUGAAACAGCUUAAUUGUAACUAUCUAAUAAAGUGACCCUUCUACCAAGCACAAGACUCUACCAUGAGCUGGAAAGAACUGAUACCCAAGAGAGGUCCCAUGGCUUGCCCAAAGUCACAUUGCUGGUAAGUGAAGGGGGCAAAAUUCAAAACCUGGGCUUUGGCCUUCUGUGCUAGUUCUCAUCCAACCUCUAAAUACAGAGAAAGAAUGAAGUCCUUUUCAUUCCCUCUCCAACAGAUCUUAAACGACACCAUACUCUCAUUCCAGCCCCAUUUGCCAAUAGUCUGUGAUCUUCCUCCAAACCCAGGCAUACACUGGAACUGGCCUGGGCAAACUGCGAUGUAUAGUCAACACUUUUAUCUUUACUUAGGCGUGUUUGCCUUUGAAUAAUUAAAGUUGCAUGUAUUCAUAGACAUAAGCCAAGACAAUGAAAUAUAUAAAAAUAUGAAUAAAGGAGAUUUAUUUUAAGGAAUAAUUUCUUAAAAUAUGCUUUUGUCUUCUGUCUACAAUGAAGUUUAGAUAACCUUUUCUUAGUGUAUCCAACAAGUUUUCAAGUGCAUUUUUCAUUCAUUUGCCCUUUGAAAUGGACUUAUUACCAUUUAAUGGUGAUAAGCAAACUCUGUCCUACCUACACUUAUUAUAGCUGUCUAAGGAUAUGACAUUCAGAUUGACAUGCAUUCCUGGAGGGUUGUGAAUAUGCAGCUGGCAUGAUGUUAAUAGAUUUUCUCAUUCACUUGUAAACAAUUCUGUUUUUAUUUCUCUCGAUCCCAAGGUUUGGAUUGAACUUUUGUUUUCUAGUCUUAAAGGAGGAAUUUUAUGUGAGCUUCACAAAUACUCAUUACCUGAAUAUAAAGGUCUCGGCAUGGUAGUUGGUCCAAAAAUGCAGCCAGCUUGUUCAAACUCCUUUUCAAUUCAGAAAGCCAUGCUAAGGAAAUUAGUGAUGUUCUCUCCAGAGGUGGCUAACUUCCUUCUAGUUGGUCUAGGUCUUGCUACUAAUCAUGUAAAGAAAUUAAAGGAAGAGGGAAAUGAUAGCUCCUGGCUGCCAGUCACUUUACAAUUUUCUGGGGAAAUGAAGAAAAAAAAAAAAAAGGCAAAAACAAAAACAAAGAAACCAACCAAACAAAAUGAUGGUGCUCAAGCUGAUGUUCACGGAAGCAAUGGCUAUGUCUGGUAUCACAGACAUGGUGGAUAUUGAAGCAGGGUCAGAUUUAUGUAGAAAUAUCCAGUUGUCAAUUUGCCAAGAAAAUCUAUUUUCAAUUCUUCCUCUUCAAGCUCAUCUAACACUCUUCUCUAGACAGACAACACAUUUUAUAGCUUAAGAACAAAAAGCUAUCAGUAACAACUUUCUGUUUCAUAGCUCCAUACUUUUGUAUAGGCUGCUCAUUCUACCUGGGAUAGCCUUGCUUCUUUAAAAUACUGCAGAGAUAUUAGGAGAAGUUUUCCCUAGCCCUACUAAGUAGAGGUAAACACUCCUUUCUCUGGGUUACCUCUGUACUUUUUUAACACUAAUAUAAUUGUACUCAUAUGCUAUAAUUGUAAUUUAAAUUACAAUAAAAUAGAAGAAAAACUAUAUAUGCACACACAUAUGUGUGUAUAUGUAUAUAUACAUACAUGUAUAUGUAUGUAUGUGUGUGUGUAUAUAUAUGUUUUUAUGCUAGACUGUGAGCUUCUAAAGCUCAGGAACAGUUAUUAGCUCAGCACCAAAUUACUAGUCCCUGGUAAAACUUAGAAGGCAAUACAUGUUUGCUGAGUUUAAUGAAAUCUCCAGGGAGCAAAAGUUUCUUCUUUAUUUUAUGGCCAAAGAAUCUACUGGCCCAUCAAAAUCCUCUAGUGAAACAUUUUCCCAAUCCUGAGCUUGCAUUAAUUGAUCUGUUUAUUCACUGAACCCUACUACUGUGUGCCAGGCAGAGUGUUAUGUUAGGUCUUAGGAAUAUAGCAGUAGGCAAAACAGACCGGGUCCCUCUCCUCACGAACCCCCUCUCCCUACUCACACUCUUCCAAAUUACUCAUUUCUAUUAAUUUACUGCAAAACAAUAUUCUCACCUCUAGCAAUAACUUUUCAAUUCAGAAGGCCAUAUAUAAAAGCAAAUUGAUACUGAGUAUGUUUCUGCUGAAAGGUCUAUAAAGAAACAUUCUAGGCUGCAAGGUAUACUCUUCAUAAAUACAUAUAUAGAUGUAUGUAUUUCUGUGUACAUGUACAUUUCUAUGCCAAUGUAUACAUAUAUUAUAGAUAUGCAAUACAGAAUUAAGGCUCACACAAGAAUACAACCCACUUAUAAACAGAAGGAUCCCUUGACCCUUCAAGCUUAGGUCCACUUAAUUAAAAAUGAAGCAUAAUUUGUACCCUUAAUUUAAUGGCCUAUGAUUUUCAAGUUUAACUAUUUUCAUGUUGAUUGCUAUAUUUUGACCCCAUUUUGAAGGUACCACAAGGGUGUUUAUGCCCUGAAAUAAAGACAAACAGACAACCUUUCCAACCUUGAAAACAAAGGAAAAAAUUUAAGACAAACAAACAUGAAAAGCCAUCAUGUAUUUCUCUGCACCCAGAAUAGUGCUAAACAUAAAGUAGGCACUAAAUGAAUACUUUCUAGAUAAUUCAGUAAAUGAAAGAGCAAACACUUGCAGUUAUGCAGUUCCUCAUUAGGGCAAGCCAAAGGAAGAGCUAUCGAUUUAAGGGGAAAGAUAGUUCAAAACUAAAUCUUGACCCAAAUGGUGAAAAGAUGAUUACCUGAAAAUAAUUUUAAUCUUUUUUUUUUUUUUUUUGAGACGGAUUCUCGCUCUGUUGUCCAGGCUGGAGUGCAGUGGCCGGAUCUCAGCUCACUGCAGGCUCCGCCUCCCGGGUUAAUAAUUUUAAUCUUAUAGCUACGCUUUAAAUUCUUUGGUCUCUUAGCUCUCAGGGCAGUGAUGUAUACCGUGUGGGGUGCAAUAUCACAUCUACCUAACUCAACCAGCUUAUCCAGCCGAGGACAGGCAUCAUAAAUAUUCCAGUGAGUUCUGUGAGGAUUAGGGGUAAACAGAUGUCUAGUUCACCUCUGCAUUUCUCAAGAGUCUUGCCAAACUCUAUAGAAUCUUCUCCAGUUAAUGUGCUUUUGUCAUUUCUGGGCUUCUUCUACAUGUUACAAAUAAAGUGGAUACUUGUGGUGGUAGGUGACAAGGUUCAUAGGAGAAGGUGAAAGCAGGAAAAAAGGUCAACAAACAUUUACCGAGCACCCACAGUUUUUAGGCCAAGGCUAGGUGCUGGACAUACAGAAAUAAAAACACCCAUCACUGGUGACUCUAUAUAUCGAGUCUCAAUACUUCUUGGUCACCAUGAUAGGUUUUGGUAUACGUUGUUCUUAUUUGCAAUUUAAUGGCAGGAAUUUUAUCUCUACCACAGAAGAAAACAAACACCUUUGGGCUCACUCACAAGCACAUAUUCAUGAAAUUUUAAGAUGUAAGAAAAUUCAUUGUGUUGUCAUAGAUGAAGACAUUUCUUUAAAAAAAAAAACCAGCAAUUCCAUCUGGUCUGCUAAACAGGUUCUCUUGGUAAUAUCAUGCAUGUUUUAAUAAAUUUAUCUAAUUGCAUUUAUCCUGGGUGGGUAACUAAGAACUCUGAAGGACAGAUAUAUUCCCAAAUUAUUUCUCAAGCAAAUUUUUGGGUGUGUACAUGUUAACAGUAGAAAGGAAUCUAAAUAAAUUAAUAUUUCCAAUUAUAGUAUACUACCAUGAAGUGAUUUGAUUAAAAUAUUUUCCUUAAAAAUAAAAAGGAGGCAAACUUUUGUUUCUAUGAAGAAACAUUCUAGGCUGCUGUGUCUGAUGGAACGUGUACUCCAUCUUCAUGAAUACAUAUAUAGAUGUAUGUAUUUCUGUGUAUAUGUACAUUUCUUUGUAAAUGUUACAUUUAAAAAGUAGAUUCAAAUAACCCUAAUUUAAUUUUUAAAAAUUUUAAACACAAGGAAAAUGUUUUCCUUUAUAUCAUCCUUAUCACUAUGACAACUAAAUGGGUUUGGUGCAAUUCUAUCUUAUCCUAAUUAAGAACAUGGCCCUGCAACACGGUAUUCUGUUAAUAUUAAAUGAAAAUGUGUGAAUUAUCUAGUUUUAAUUAGACUGCUGCAUUUAUGGCUUUCUGUUGUGAGCAAAUGCUGUUUAGUAUAUAAAACAUAAAUUGAGAUUUGUUUCUUAAGAAUUAGAUGAAUGUAGGGGAAAUCAAGGGGAACCCACACUGCUUGAAUCACACAUCCUUAUGUAGAGUCUGUAUCCAUUCACUUAUCUUUUCAUCCUUCUAUCCAAUACUAUUGAGCCCCUCCUAUUAGCAGUCAAUGGAAGGACAAAGAAAAAUCUGUCCUUACUAAUGAGCUCCCUCUGGUGAUAAGAUCCACCAAAACAGAUAAUUAUAAUAUAAUAUAGUAAGAUAAAUGUAGUUACAGAAAUAAGCCGGGAGUAUUUGAGAUAUAGCAAGAAAGACCCAACUGGUGGGGAGGAAGGGAAGAGAAACAUCUUUCAGGAGGACAAUUAAUCAAUAAAUAAACAAAUAAUGCUUAUUUUUUUUUUGUUUCAUCAAUAUCCCUACUCACUUUCCCGCUCCUGUAUUAUUUUGAGGCAAAUAAUUUCACCCAUGCAUAUGUCAGUGUGUAGCUCUAAAAGAUAAGGGUGCUUGUUUUUAAUAUAAGCAAAAAUACAAUUAUCACAUCUCAAAUAUUACCAAUAAUUUGUCACCACAUAUGUCAUUGGUGUCCAAAUCUCCAACUGUCUCAUCGUCAUGAUUUGUUUUACCAUUUAUGUUUUGUUUGAAUUGAAAUACACAAAUGUUCAUUGCUUACAAUUUGUUACUUUUAAGUGUUUCCCCUAUAUCUCUUUUUUCUUUGCCAAUUAUUUAUUGAAGAAGCCUGAGUUUUAAAGAAUGCGUGGAGGGUUAGACAAAUAAAGGGGAGGGGAGUAAGGAAGGAAAUUUAGAGAAAUGGGA